rnacentral:rRNA from 1 species
UGGGGAAUUUUGCGCAAUGGGGGAAACCCUGACGCAGCAACGCCGCGUGAGUGAUGAAGGCCCUUGGGUCGUAAAGCUCUGUCGGAGGGGAAGAAAUGAUUGGGUAUUAAUACUGCCUGAUCUUGACGGUACCCUCAAAGGAAGCACCGGCUAACUCCGUGCCAGCAGCCGCGGUAAUACGGAGGGUGCAAGCGUUGUUCGGAUUUAUUGGGCGUAAAGGGCGUGUAGGCGGUUCGUUAAGUCUGAUGUGAAAGCCCCGGGCUCAACCCGGGAAGUGCAUUGGAAACUGGCGAACUUGAGUACGGGAGAGGGCAGUGGAAUUCCUAGUGUAGGAGUGAAAUCCGUAGAUAUUAGGAGGAACACCGGUGGCGAAGGCGGCUGCCUGGACCGAUACUGACGCUGAGACGCGAAAGCGUGGGGAGCAAACA